UACGGAGGGAGCGAGCGUCACUCGGAAUUACUUGGCGUAAAGCGCGCGUAGGUGGCUUGAUAAGCCGGUUGAGAAAGCCCCGGGCUCAACCUGGGAACGGCAUCCGGAACUGUCAGGCUAUAGUGCAGGAGAGGAAGGUAGAAUUCCCGGUGUAGCGGUGAAAAGCGUAGAGAUCGGGAGGAAUACCAGUGGCGAAGGCGGCCUUCUGGACUGACACUGACACUGAGGUGCGAAAGCGUGGGUAGCAAACAGG
rnacentral:misc_RNA from 1 species